rnacentral:rRNA from 2 species
UGGGGAAUCUUGCGCAAUGGGCGAAAGCCUGACGCAGCGACGCCGCGUGAGUGAUGAAGGCCCUCGGGUUGUAAAGCUCUGUGGAGAGAGACGAAUAAGGGUUGGCUAAUAUCCAACUCGAUGACGGUAUCUUUUUAGCAAGCACCGGCUAACUCUGUGCCAGCAGCCGCGGUAAGACAGAGGGUGCAAACGUUGUUCGGAAUUACUGGGCGUAAAGCGCGUGUAGGCUGCGAUGCAAGUCGGAUGUGAAAGCCCUGGGCUCAACCUAGGAAGUGCAUUCGAAACUGCGUUGCUUGAGUUCUGGAGAGGAAGGCGGAAUUCUCGGUGUAGAGGUGAAAUUCGUAGAUAUCGAGAGGAACACCGGUGGCGAAGGCGGCCUUCUGGACAGCAACUGACGCUGAGACGCGAAAGCGUGGGGAGCAAACAGG